AGUGGAGCCUGCGGCUUAAUUUGACUCAACACGGGGAAACUUACCAGGUCCAGACAUUGUGAGGAUUGACAGAUUGAGAGCUCUUUCUUGAUUCGAUGGGUGGUGGUGCAUGGCCGUUCUUAGUUCGUGGGGUGACUUGUCUGCUUAAUUGCGAUAACGAACGAGACCUUAACCUGCUAAAUAGUUACACCUAACCUCGGUUAGGUGGGCAACUUCUUAGAGGGACUUUGCGUGUCUAACGCAAGGAAGUUUGAGGCAAUAACAGGUCUGUGAUGCCCUUAGAUGUUCUGGGCUGCACGCGCGCUACACUGAUG
rnacentral:rRNA from 1 species